CAAGUCGCAACGGGACGUAGCAAUACGUGCAGUGGCAGACGGGUGAGUAACGCGUGGGAACGUGCCUUUUGGUUCGGAACAACACAGGGAAACUUGUGCUAAUACCGGAUAAGCCCUUACGGGGAAAGAUUUAUCGCCGAUGGAUCGGCCCGCGUCUGAUUAGCUUGUUGGUGAGGUAAUGGCUCACCAAGGCGACGAUCAGUAGCUGGUCUGAGAGGAUGAUCAGCCACACUGGGACUGAGACACGGCCCAGACUCCUGCGGGAGGCAGCAGUGGGGAAUAUUGGACAAUGGGGGCAACCCUGAUCCAGCCAUGCCGCGUGAGUGAUGAAGGCCCUAGGGUUGUAAAGCUCUUUUGKCGGGGAAGAUAAUGACGGUACCGCAAGAAUAAGCCCCGGCUAACUUCGUGCCAGCAGCCGCGGUAAUACGAAGGGGGCUAGCGUUGCUCGGAAUCACUGGGCGUAAAGCGCACGUAGGCGGACUGUUAAGUCAGGGGUGAAAUCCUGGAGCUCAACUCGAGAACUGCCUUUGAUACUGGCAGUCUCGAGUUCGAGAGAGGUGAGUGGAACUGCGAGUGUAGAGGUGAAAUUCGUAGAUAUUCGCAAGAACACCGGUGGCGAAGGCGACUCACUGGCUCGAUACUGACGCUGAGGUGCGAAAGCGUGGGGAGCAAACAGGAUUAGAUACCCUGUUAGUCCACGCCGUAAACGAUGAAUGCUAGCCGUUCGGCGGGCUUGCUCGUCAGUGGCGCAGCUAACGCAUUAAGCAUUCCGCCUGGGGAGUACGGUCGCAAGAUUAAAACUCAAAGGAAUUGACGGGCGGCCCGCACAAGCGAUGGAGCAUGUGGUUUAAUUUCGAAGCCACCGCGCACAACCUUACCAGCUCUUUGACAUGUC
rnacentral:rRNA from 1 species